CCUACGGGAGGCAGCAGUGGGGAAUAUUGCACAAUGGGGGAAACCCUGAUGCAGCGACGCCGCGUGAGUGAAGAAGUAAUUCGUUACGUAAAGCUCUAUCAGCAGGGAAGAAAAUGACGGUACCUGAGUCAGAAGCCCCGGCUAACUACGUGACAGCAGCCGGGGUAAUACGGAGGGGGCCAGCGUUAUCCGGAUUUACUGGGUGUAAAGGGGGCGUAGGCGGUGCGCCCAGUCUGGAGGGAAAUGCCAGAGCUUAACUGCGGAACUGCCUUGGAAACUGGCGAUCUAGAGUGCGUGAGGGGUAAGCGGAAUGCCUGGUGUAGCGGUGAAAUGCAUAGAUAUCACGCAGAACUCCGAUCGCGAAGGCAGCAUACCGGCGCGCAACUGACGCUCAUGCACGAAAGCGUGGGUAUCGAACAGGAUUAGAUACCCUAGUAGUC
rnacentral:rRNA from 1 species